CCGUGUUCCCCCCAGGCGAGCGCAGCUCCUCGGGGCUGCUCGAGUGGGACUCCAAGAGCGACGCCCUGGAGACCCUCGGCUUCCUCAACCACUUCCAGAUGAAGAACCCCAACGGGCCGUACCCCUACACGCUCAAGCUCUGCUUCUCCACGGCGCAGCACGCCUCGUAACGGGACCCCCAAAACACCCCCAGACUCCCUUUUUUAGAGCCGAGGGGCAGCCGGGACCCCCCUCACCCCCCGCCCUCCCUCCGUUUGUGUCCUUCCCCUCCCUCGAUUUUUAAGGAGAAGAGUCGGGGCCUGACGGGGCCCCUCCGUGACUCCCCCCCUCCCCCCCAAAAUAAAGUUGUUUGGAAAACA